CCUACGGGAGGCAGCAGUGGGGAAUAUUGGACAAUGGGCGAAAGCCUGAUCCAGCCAUGCCGCGUGUGUGAAGAAGGCCUUCGGGUUGUAAAGCACUUUCAGUGGGGAAGAAAGCCUUGGGGCUAAUACCCUCGAGGAAGGACAUCACCCACAGAAGAAGCACCGGCUAACUCCGUGCCAGCAGCCGCGGUAAUACGGAGGGUGCGAGCGUUAAUCGGAAUUACUGGGCGUAAAGCGCGCGUAGGCGGUCUGAUAAGCCGGUUGUGAAAGCCCCGGGCUCAACCUGGGAACGGCAUCCGGAACUGUCAGGCUAGAGUGCAGGAGAGGAAGGUAGAAUUCCCGGUGUAGCGGUGAAAUGCGUAGAGAUCGGGAGGAAUACCAGUGGCGAAGGCGGCCUUCUGGACUGACACUGACGCUGAGGUGCGAAAGCGUGGGUAGCAAACAGGAUUGGAUACCCGUGUAGUC
rnacentral:rRNA from 1 species